rnacentral:tRNA from 2 species
GUCUGGGUGGCGCAAUUGGUUAGCGCGUUCGACUGUUAUCAAGAGAUUGAUAUCGAGAGGUUGAGAGUUCGAGCCUCUCCCUGGACG